rnacentral:rRNA from 1 species
GCUAAAAAGCUAGCUUAAACACCAAAAUACUAAAAACAACAUUAAAUCACCUUACAAAAAUACAACAUACAAACUAAAACAUUUUUCCGCCUAAGUAAGUGAGACAGAAAAGGCCUAACCAAAGCAAUAAUAAAAGUACCGCAAGGGAACGCUGAAAGAGAAAUGAAACAAAUCAUAAAAGCACAACAAAGCAGAGACUAACCCUCGUAUUU